rnacentral:rRNA from 1 species
AACGAACGCUGGCGGCAUGCCUAACACAUGCAAGUCGAACGAGACCUUCGGGUCUAGUGGCGCACGGGUGCGUAACGCGUGGGAACCUGCCCUUAGGUUCGGAAUAACUCCCCGACAGGGGUGCUAAUACCGGAUAAUGUCUUCGGACCAAAGAUUUAUCGCCUUUGGAUGGGCCCGCGUUGGAUUAGCUAGUUGGUAGGGUAAAAGCCUACCAAGGCGACGAUCCAUAGCUGGUCUGAGAGGAUGAUCAGCCACACUGGGACUGAGACACGGCCCAGACUCCUACGGGAGGCAGCAGUGGGGAAUAGUGGACAAUGGGGGAAAGCCUGAUCCAGCAAGGCCGCGUGAGUGAUGAAGGCAUUAGGGUUGUAAAGCUCUUUUAACCGGGAUGAUAAUGACAGUACCGGGAGAAUAAGCUCCGGCUAACUCCGUG